GCCUACCUGGCUGAGUCGGUAAAGCACGCAAUUUUUGAUCUUGGGGUCAUGAGUUUGAGCCCCAUGCUGGGUG
rnacentral:tRNA from 1 species